rnacentral:misc_RNA from 1 species
UUGAAUGAAUCUAGAGUUGGUUGUCGCUGGCCCCAAGCGGGGCAUGUGCACGCCUUCUCUCUCCUUCAUCCACACACACCUGUGCACUUGUGAGACGGAGGAUUGAAAAGUCCUCCGUCUACUAAUCACACAAAACUCAUUGUACUUAAACUGAAUGUAAUUGAUGUAACACAUCAUUAAUUAGAAC